rnacentral:tRNA from 1 species
AGUAGCUCAGUGGAUAGAGCAAUGGCCUCCGGAGCCGUGUGCGCAGGUUCGAUUCCUGUCUG